ACGGAAGGCAGCAGUGGGGGAUAUUGCACAAUGGAGGAAACUCUGAUGCAGCAACGCCGCGUGAAGGAAGAAGGCCUUCGGGUUGUAAACUUCUGUCCUUGGUGACGAUAAUGACGGUAGCCAGGGAGGAAGCCACGGCUAACUACGUGCCAGCAGCCGCGGUAAUACGUAGGUGGCAAGCGUUGUCCGGAAUUACUGGGUGUAAAGGGUGCGUAGGCGGCUCAUAAAGUCAGAUGUGAAAUAUCGAGGCUCAACCUCGGAGCUGCAUUUGAAACUGAUGGUCUUGAGUGAAGUAGAGGUAAGCGGAAUUCCUAGUGUAGCGGUGAAAUGCGUAGAUAUUAGGAGGAACACCAGUGGCGAAGGCGGCUUACUGGGCUUUAACUGACGCUGAGGCACGAAAGCAUGGGUAGCAAACAGGAUUAGAUACCCUGGUA
rnacentral:rRNA from 1 species